AAAACAAUUAAAUGCAUCAUUCUAACAUUGCCUAAAAUGAUGAAUAAGACACUAAUGAGAUAGACCUGCACAAUGCAGUUGUACAAUUUAUGGCACAUAUGACGACAAACGGUUGAGGAAAACACUCGUUUACUUUUCCCAACUUUAAGCAAAUCACAAGCGGCGACAGCUGGGCGAUGACCAAUCAUAUCGCGGGGUUCCCGUGACGAUGACCAAUCAUAUCGAGUGGUUCCCGUGACGAUGACCAAUCAAAUCGAGUGGUUCCCGUGACGUUGACCAAUCAUAUCGAGUGGUUCCCGUGACGUUGACCAAUCAUAUCGAGUGGCUCCCAUGACGAAUCUGACGCGUGAAACCCAGGACAGGAGACUAUCUCCAGCAAAGAUGGCUGACAGAAAUACCAGGACGGAAGCAAAUGGACUCCUGAAACAACCAGCAAACCAGGCUGUCGUCUUGUGAAACAGUAGAUGUAAAUAAUCUAGCUAGCUAAAGCAUUUACUGCAAAUUGAAUGUACCGUUUUGUAAGCUUGCCUUGCUGAUAUUUACAAUGCAGAUGAAGUAACGUAGCUAGUUUCUUGCUUCUUGUGCAGUGCAGAAUAAAAAUAUCUGUAUGCCUAUA